rnacentral:rRNA from 1 species
UGUCGUCAGCUCGUGUUGUGAAAUGUUGGGUUAAGUCCCGCAACGAGCGCAACCCUUAUCCUUUGUUGCCAGCGGUCCGGCCGGGAACUCAAAGGAGACUGCCAGUGAUAAACUGGAGGAAGGUGGGGAUGACGUCAAGUCAUCAUGGCCCUUACGACCAGGGCUACACACGUGCUACAAUGGCGCAUACAAAGAGAAGCGACCUCGCGAGAGCAAGCGGACCUCAUAAAGUGCGUCGUAGUCCGGAUUGGAGUCUGCAACUCGACUCCAUGAAGUCGGAAUCGCUAGUAAUCGUGGAUCAGAAUGCCACGGUGAAUACGUUCCCGGGCCUUGUACACACCGCCCGUCACACCAUGGGAGUGGGUUGCAAAAGAAGUAGGUAGCUUAACCUUCGGGAGGGCGCUUACCACUUUGUGAUUCAUGACUGGGGU